rnacentral:rRNA from 1 species
UACGUAGGGGGCAAGCGUUGUCCGGAUUUAUUGGGCGUAAAGAGCGUGUAGGCGGCUUUACAGGUCCGUUGUGAAAACUCGAGGCUCAACCUCGAGACGCCGGUGGAAACCGUAAGGCUAGAGUCCGGAAGAGGAGAGUGGAAUUCCCGGUGUAGCGGUGAAAUGCGCAGAUAUCAGGAAGAACACCCGUGGCGAAGGCGGCUCUCUGGGACGGUACUGACGCUGAGGCGCGAAAGCGUGGGGAGCGAACAGG